rnacentral:tRNA from 1 species
GGGGCCAUAGCUCAGCUGGUAGAGCGCUGCAAUGGCAUUGCAGAGGUCAGGGGUUCGACUCCCCUUGGCUCCA